ensembl:lncRNA
GUCUGACUCCAGGUCUGAUUACAUUGUAAAUAAUGCUCUCCCUCCCAGUCUGACUCCAGGUCUGAUUACAUUGUAAAUAAUGCUCUCCCUCCCAGUCUGACUCCAGGUCUGAUUACAUUGUAAAUAAUGCUCUCCCUCCCAGUCUGACUCCAGGUCUGAUUACAUUGUAAAUAAUGCUCUCCCUCCCAGGUUGACUCCAGGUCUGAUUACAUUGUAAAUAAUGCUCUCCCUCCCAGGUUGACUCCAGGUCUGAUUACAUUGUAAAUAAUGCUCUCCCUCCCAGUCUGACUCCAGGUCUGAUUACAUUAA